UACCCAUUCACGUUGCCUCUCUCUCAUCCACUUACCCACAAAAACAGGGGUUUCUCACUCUCUCUCAUAAACCCUCCAUAGUUACUCUCACAGAACUCCCUUUGAAUGACCAACCCUUCGCGUAGUGAGAAGGAAGCAGUCCUCGUCCUCAAUAUUUGCCUAGCCAAAAACUCAUGAGGUGGGACCCAAUUCUCCGAAUCCUCGUCGUCGUCCUCGAAAUCAUCCUCAUCGAAGUCCCUCCAGUGAUUCACCCUGUACUCUUCCUUCAGUAUCUUCAACUAGUCCGGUAUAUUCAUCAGCAAAUAUGCCAGCCCGUUGAUGGUGACUCCAGUCGCUGCCGAAGACUUCUUUCGAGAGAUUCUCGAAUUGCUUUUUGGAACUCCAACGAAAUCGAUCGAACAGCCGUGUCCAAGAAAUCGGACUCGUCGAGCUUGAAUAUCAUUGAAUCUUUAGUAACUAUCUGAUCGGUCAGUAAUACUCUAUAGGUUUGUGAUGCCGCCAUUUAUUGAAAUCACUGGUUUUUGCUUCAAAAUCUCUCUGUAUGACCAUGAAUGUAUCCGUGCUAUUUGUGAUACUUUUGAAUGGGGGUUUUGGUCUGCUUGUAUAAAGCCUUUAAAUGGAUAAAAGGUUCUCUCCCCAAAAAAAAAAAAAAAAAAAAAGGAAAUUUUGUCUUCACCCAGAGGAAAUUUUCUAUGUAUUUUCCAAAAAAAAUUGAUGAAACGGAGGGUGUGAGGCCAUAUACAUUGGUGUUUAAUAUCUUGAUUUUGGUGUUCAGGAAACAAAAGAGAGUUGAAGAGGGGAUUAAGCUUUUCGACAGUAUGAUGCUUAAAGGGUGUUAUCCAAAUUCUAGGACUUAUCAAGAGAUUCUGUAUUGAUGAUACAUAGUUUUUGUGUUGAAAAUCUUGUGGAAGAUUUAGAUUGGGCAUUGAGGAAAAUGAUAAGGCAUGGAUUUGUGCAAAAAAUGGAAUAUGGAAGCUAGUUCUUCCUUAUGUGUUCUCGAAUGGACAUAUUGCUAAUUCUAAUCAUAUUUCGUACAAAGAAAUUAUCAAGAGCUAGUCUUAUACGAACCUAAAGAUCAUCACACUGCUUAACUAUUGCUAUGCUAUGUGUUCUACUAAGGCAGUUGAUAGAUUUGUGUGCAGGCUCUGGACAAGCAGUGAGAGUUGUUAAAACUUUUGUUGAAGACUCAUUUCUCUAGUUGCAAUAUUGAAAGAAAAAUACUUUGUUUACAGACUUAAAUUGUAUCUUUGAGCAUAAAAAUUUAUUUGCUUAUGUACAAAAAGGUUUUUUCUUGGCCAUCUUUAACAACCA
rnacentral:lncRNA from 1 species